rnacentral:rRNA from 1 species
ACUCAAAUGAAUUGACGGGGACCCGCACAAGUGGUGGAGCGUGUGGUUUAAUUCGACAGCAAGCGAAGAACCUUACCCAGAUUUGACAUCUCGAGAAAGCGCUGGAAACAGUGCCGUGCCGCAAGGAACUCGAAGACAGGUGUUGCAUGGCUGUCGUCAGCUCGUGCUGUGAAGUGUCCCGUUCAGUCGGUUAACGAGCGCAACCCUCAUCCUGUGUUGUAUUUUUCACGGGAAACUGCCUCAGUUAAUGGGGAGGAAGGUGAGGAUGACGUCAAGUCAGCAUGGCCCUUACAUCUGGGGCUACACACGCGCUACAAUGGGUAGCAACAAUGGGUCGCCAAGUCGCAAGACGGAGCUAAUCCUAUCAAAUCUACCCUCAGUUCGGAUUGGAGGCUGCAACUCGCCUCCAUGAAGCCGGAAUCACUAGUAACGGCCGGUCAGCCACACGGCCGUGAAUACGUUCUCGGGUCUUGUACACACCGCCCGU